rnacentral:rRNA from 1 species
AUUGAACGCUGGCGGCAGGCCUAACACAUGCAAGUCGGACGGUAGCACAGAGGAGCUUGCUCCUUGGGUGACGAGUGGCGGACGGGUGAGUAAUGUCUGGGGAUCUGCCCGAUAGAGGGGGAUAACCACUGGAAACGGUGGCUAAUACCGCAUAACGUCGCAAGACCAAAGAGGGGGACCUUCGGGCCUCUCACUACCGGAUGAACCCAGAUGGGAUUAGCUAGUAGGCGGGGUAAUGGCCCACCUAGGCGACGAUCCCUAGCUGGUCUGAGAGGAUGACCAGCCACACUGGAACUGAGACACGGUCCAGACUCCUACGGGAGGCAGCAGUGGGGAAUAUUGCACAAUGGGCGCAAGCCUGAUGCAGCCAUGCCGCGUGUAUGAAGAAGGCCUUCGGGUUGUAAAGUACUUUCAGCGGGGAGGAAGGCGGUGAGGUUAAUAACCUCGCCGAUUGACGUUACCCGCAGAAGAAGCACCGGCUAACUCCGUGCCAGCCGCCGCAGUAA